GACGAACCGUGCGAACGUUAUUCGGAAUCACUGGGCUUAAAGCGCGUGUAGGCGGAUGGGAACGUCGGUAGUUGAAAGCCCCCGGCUCAACUGGGGAGGGUCACGCGAUACUGUUCGACUCGAAGGCAGGAGAGGGUAGUGGAAUUCCCGGUGUAGUGGUGAAAUGCGUAGAUAUCGGGAGGAACACCAGUGGCGAAGGCGACUACCUGGCCUGUUCUUGACGCUGAGGCGCGAAAGCUAGGGUAGCAAACGGG
rnacentral:rRNA from 1 species